GGAAUCUUCCACAAUGGACGAAAGUCUGAUGGAGCAACGCCGCGUGAGUGAAGAAGGGUUUCGGCUCGUAAAACUCUGUCGUUAAAGAAGAACAUAUCUGAGAGUAACUGUUUAGGUAUUGACGGUAUUUAACCAGAAAGCCACGGCUAACUACGUGCCAGCAGCCGCGGUAAUACGUAGGUGGCAAGCGUUGUCCGGAUUUAUUGGGCGUAAAGCGAGCGCAGGCGGUUUCUUAAGUGUGAUGUGAAAGCCCCCGGCUCAACCGGGGAAGGUCAUUGGAAACUGGGAGACUUGAGUGCAGAAGGGGAGAGUGGAAUUCCAUGUGUAGCGGUGAAAUGCGGAGAUAUAUGGAGGAACACCAGUGGCGAAGGCGGCUCUCUGGUCUGUAACUGACGCUGAGGCUCGAAAGAGUGGGGAGCAAACA
rnacentral:rRNA from 1 species